GUGGCUGAGCUAUAUCCAGCUUGGUUGGGAAUGUUUCAUGCUGUCAAAAUCUGUCGUGCCACCCAAUUAUGGCUGGAAGGAGACUCUAGCUCUAUCAUCUCAUGGCUAAAUCAUUCAGGCACCUCCAGCACUAUUGAGGACCCUUAGAGAGCUAAUUGCUUGGAUAAGCAUUGUUUAGAUUAUCAAAAUAACUCAUAUCAAAUGCAAAGGGAACAAGAUGGCAGAUUGGCUCACGGGUAGA
rnacentral:lncRNA from 1 species